CCGCAAUUUAUGUGCAAAGGUAGCAUAAUCAUUUGCCUUCUAAUUUAAGGCUAGAACGAAAGGUUUAACAUUUUAAAUUCUGUAAUCUUUUGAAUAUUUGAAAUUUUAAUAUAAAUAAAAAUAUUUAUUUAUUUUAGGGGGACGACAAGACCCUAUUGAACUUCACAUUCAUGUUCUUCUGGGGUGGAAAUAAAACUAAAUCUUUCUCUUUCUUUUUUUUUAAUAACAAAAAACUUUAAAUUUAAACAAGUUACCAUAGGGAUAACAGCACAAUUUUUUCUUAAAGAUCGUAUUAAAGAAAAAGUUUAUGACCUCGAUGUUGAAUUAUUUUUCUUUUAUUUGAAGCAAAAAUCUAAAAAGAAAGUCUGUUCGACUUUUAAAUUUUUACAUGAUUUGAGUUCAGACCGGCGCAAGCCAGGUCGGAUUCUAUCUCCUCUUAUUCUUUUUAGUACGAAAGGACCAAAAGAAUAUUAAUUUAAUUUUACU
rnacentral:rRNA from 1 species